AACAGCAAAAUGUUAUCUUUAUCAUUGUCUGCCAGCUUUACGUAUAUUUGUUUCACAACGUUGUCAUUUACGACGUUUUGUCCCAUCGACUGUGUGGUAUCGUUAAUUAUGGUGCGGUUUAGUCCUUUUCAACAUCAAAAUAGUGAAGUUAUGACUUAAUACAUUGUAUGCAUUAUUAUGGUCUCUAAGUGAUGGUAUUGGAAUAUACAUAGAUAAUAAUUAAUUAUCAUAAGAAAGCAUGUGAAGGAGAUCUCAUGGAUUUCACGGAAAAUUUCUCUAGAGCAAGAAUAACAGUCGAUGGAAUUGAAUCACGGCAUAUGAAGUCUUAAUUUUUACACGGCUAGCGUAUAUCAAUUGGAUAUUGUUUUGCUGGCUGUUUUGUCGUAAUUCGUAGAAUUUCGCAGUUCCUUGCUAAAGGUACGAUGAGUGGUGAUUUUAAUUUGGAACUUGGAAAUUCCAUGGACCAUGACAUUGAACCCGGAAAACAAUAUCGAUCCAAUAGUUUAGAUUAACCAUUACCAAGGAUUUUAGAAUUUUUUGGGCUUUCUUCAGUUAAAGAAUUAAAAGGCAUUCAUGCAAUGUCUCUUUGGCCCUUGCUGAGCUUCUAAUACCUUCAAUAGCCAAUAUAUUUUCAUAUUUAGACAUAAUUGGAUGAUGACUGAAAAAUUCGAAAAAGUUAGAAAUGCGAUAUGAUUGGAUACAAUUUUGCUGCAUUUUCAUAUUCGAGUACGUUUUUGAAUCGUGAUGGAGUUCUUCUGCAUGUUUCAAGGACAACGACCAACUCAUUUUUUAAUUUUUUGUAAAAAUAUGUAACAAAAGUGGAUUUGUUGAACUAAACUUUGGCGUUUAAAUUCAAAAUGAUAAUUCGAUUAAUUUUAUUAAAUUAGUUAUUCAUUUUAUUAUAUUAAAUUGUAAU